CACGUAGGGCGCGAGCGUUGUCCGGAAUUAUUGGGCGUAAAGAGCUCGUAGGCGGCCUGUUGCGUCCGCUGUGAAAGCCCGGGGCUUAACCCCGGGUCGGCAGUGGAUACGGGCAGGCUAGAGGUAGGUAGGGGAGAAUGGAAUUCCCGGUGUAGCGGUGAAAUGCGCAGAUAUCGGGAGGAACACCGGUGGCGAAGGCGGCCUGCUGGGCAGUUUUGCUGACACUGAGGCGCGACAGCGUGGGGAGCAAACAGG
rnacentral:rRNA from 1 species